GAUGAACGCUGGCGGCGUGCCUAAUACAUGCAAGUCGAGCGAACAGAUGAGGAGCUUGCUCCUCUGACGUUAGCGGCGGACGGGUGAGUAACACGUGGAUAACCUACCUAUAAGACUGGGAUAACUUCGGGAAACCGGAGCUAAUACCGGAUAAUAUAUUGAACCGCAUGGUUCAAUAGUGAAAGACGGUUUUGCUGUCACUUAUAGAUGGAUCCGCGCCGCAUUAGCUAGUUGGUAAGGUAACGGCUUACCAAGGCAACGAUGCGUAGCCGACCUGAGAGGGUGAUCGGCCACACUGGAACUGAGACACGGUCCAGACUCCUACGGGAGGCAGCAGUAGGGAAUCUUCCGCAAUGGGCGAAAGCCUGACGGAGCAACGCCGCGUGAGUGAUGAAGGUCUUCGGAUCGUAAAACUCUGUUAUUAGGGAAGAACAAAUGUGUAAGUAACUAUGCAUGUCUUGACGGUACCUAAUCAGAAAGCCACGGCUAACUACGUG
rnacentral:rRNA from 1 species